rnacentral:rRNA from 1 species
AACGAACGCUGGCGGUAUGCUUAACACAUGCAAGUCGAGCGCUUGAGAGGAGCUUGCUCCUUGAUGGCGUGGCAGACGGGUGAGUAAUAUAUAGGAACGUACCCAAAAGUCUGGGAUAACGCUUGGAAACGAGUGAUAAUACCGGAUAAGCCCGAGAGGGGAAAGGCUUACUGCUUUUGGAGCGGCCUAUAUCAGAUUAGGUAGUUGGUGGGGUAAAGGCCUACCAAGCCGAUGAUCUGUAGCUGAUUUGAGAGGAUGAUCAGCCACACUGGGACUGAGACACGGCCCAGACUCCUACGGGAGGCAGCAGUGGGGAAUAUUGGACAAUGGGGGAAACCCUGAUCCAGCAAUACCGCGUGAAUGAUGAAGGCCUUCGGGUUGUAAAGUUCUUUUAUUAGGGAAGAUGAUGACGGUACCUAAUGAAUAAGCUCCGGCUAACUUCGUGCCAGCCGCCGCCGUAA